rnacentral:pre_miRNA from 1 species
AUCAUACUCCCUCCGUCCGGAAAUACUUGUCGUAGAAAUGGAUACAAAUGGAUGUAUCUAGAACUAAAAUACAUCUAGAUACAUUCAUUCCUCUGACAAGUAUUUCCGGACGGAGGGAGUAUAAG